rnacentral:rRNA from 1 species
UACGAGGGGGGCAAGCGUUGUUCGGAAUUAUUGGGCGUAAAGGGUGCGUAGGCGGUUUGGUAAGUCUUAUGUGAAAUCUACAGGCUCAACUUGUAGUCUGCAUGAGAAACUGCCGGGCUUGAGUAUGGGAGAGGUGAGUGGAAUUCCUGGUGUAGCGGUGAAAUGCGUAGAUAUCAGGAGGAACACCGAUGGCGAAGGCAGGUCUCUGGGCAUUAACUGACGCUGAGGAGCGAAAGCAUGGGGAGCGAACAGG